AGGUUUAACCAAUUACUGUCACUUGAUAAAUGGCAUAAAUACUUGAUGUUUGAGCUUCUGAGGAAGAAAAAUACGGAAAGGUCCAUGGGGCAGUGACUGAAACACUCUUUUUCUCUUUCGUCGUCUUCUGAAUUGCGUCGAUCGAAUAGGAGAAAAUGAAAUCAAGAGUUUGCAAUUUUAACUGGGUUUUCUUAGGUCCUUUCGGUUCAUAGGUUUUUUGACUAAAUCUUGGCCCGAUACACAUCACUAAGUCUAUUUGGUUCUUUGGCUCAUGAGCUUUUUGACCAAAUCGUGGCCUCAUAAACAUCACUAAAUCUAUUUCACUCAUAGAAAAAAAUGUGAAGGCAGAGUAAAAACAUGUGGGCUCCACAUUAAAAAGAUGUAGUGACGUGGACACUUUUAGAGGAAAGAAAACUCUGCUAUUAUAUAUAUGAUUUUGUCAAUAAUAUAUUUAAGUUUUCUAAGUACUAUAAAAGUGUUGAUAAAAAAAUAACUGUGGGUAAAGAAGAGACAACCAUGAUUUUGACCAAGUACCACGGAUCAUUCUUCUAUCUUCAUUGGAUUGUGUAUCUAACUAACUUCUACAAAAAAAUAUUAAUAUUAUUAAGAACAUGAUCAUGUUCUAUAAGAAGCUAAUCAAAGUUUCUUUAUAUAAAGUCCAUAAAGGUGCAAAAGAUUACUUGCUAAUUAUAGUUUGAUAUACACAUAAUGAUUAUUAGUAAAACAUUAAACAAACUAUCACAUCCGAAUGUUUGACUGCCAAUGUUU
rnacentral:sRNA from 1 species